AGAUGCGGCUCAAUAAACACAAUCUUGUGGCAUCUUAUAACGAUCCAUGUGGAUGGAAUAUGGUUACCACCCAUCUCCCAUGUGUGUACAUAAUCUUGAAAAUCAUUAAGGGAGGGUCAUAUUCCGUCAAAGAUAAUAUGAUGGAGUCAAGUUUGGCAUAUGACGAAUCCAAGUGCUUGCUCCAUAUGUUUAUGAAUUAAAGGUAGCCAUAUCAUAUCUCAUACAAUUUGUUUCUUUCUAAUUUUACAUUAAUGUGUAUAAUAAAUUAAAGUAACGUAGAUAUAUAGAGUGAUUUAUAUGACUAGCUAGGGUGUUGUUACUAACAAUUACCAUAUAUAUUAUUUAAUUACGCAUAGGGAUUAAUUAAAUAAAUGUGAAGAAAAGAAUGAUGUGAUCUGUUCCAAUGAUUUUAACACAAAAAUUUUCUAGGAGUAUAUGAUCAACAUUAAGCUCAAGGAUAGAGGUAUAUAAGUCAUGUUGUUAUCUUUUACCUAAUUAACAAACAUUACUCAAAGAUAAAAUUUAAAAUUAAAUUAACCCAAUGUAUUGCACUCCAAUGAGGGGAUGGUAUCAAUAUUUUAUAAUUGAUAAGAUUUGUUUUACUAUUAUGCAGGUGAGUAGUAUAAUUAACAAUUCUUGUGUUGUCUUGUGAUGAUUCACGUAGAUGGAUUGUAACGAGACUAAAAGAAAAUCAAUAAGCAAUGAUCAUAUUUUAUAUAGCUUCUAGUAAAAGCAGUGAUUUAAGUCAAAAUAAAGUGGAUAUUGGUCUUUCAAUGGAGGUUCAUAUUCAGGCUCAUCGUGAUUACAACAAAUGUAUUACACUAUAACAAAAAAUUGUGGUCCAAAGCAAGAUUCAUGAAGACUUGUUUCCAAUUAUGGUGUAAAUGAGGGCAAUAUCACAUUAAUUAAAGUGAUCAAAUUUUGAUGUUAACAAAAAUCAAGAUGUAUUUAUUUGUAACAAAUAAUUGAUAUUGUUAUAGUGAAUUUUAUGUUCGA